rnacentral:rRNA from 1 species
CUACGGGGCGCUGCAGUGAGGAAUAUUGCACAAUGGGGGGAACCCUGAUGCAGCAACGCCGCGUGGAGGAUGACGCAUUUCGGUGUGUAAACUCCUUUUAUAUGUCAAGAGAAUGACGGUAGCAUAUGAAUAAGCACCGGCUAACUCCGUGCCAGCAGCCGCGGUAAUACGGAGGGUGCAAGCGUUACUCGGAAUCACUGGGCGUAAGGGACGCGUAGGCGGGUUGGAAAGUCAGGUGUGAAAUCCUACAGCUUAACUGUAGAACUGCACUUGAAACUUCUAAUCUAGAGUAUGGGAGGGGGAGAUGGAAUUAGUGGUGUAGGGGUAAAAUCCGUAGAUAUCACUAGGAAUACCUAAAGCGAAGGCGAUCUCCUGGAACAUUACUGACGCUAAGGCGUGAAAGCGUGGGGAGCAAGCAGGAUUAGAUACCCCCGUAGUC